rnacentral:rRNA from 1 species
GAUGAACGCUGGCGGCGUGCCUAAUACAUGCAAGUCGAGCGAACAGACGAGGAGCUUGCUCCUCUGACGUUAGCGGCGGACGGGUGAGUAACACGUGGAUAACCUACCUAUAAGACUGGGAUAACUUCGGGAAACCGGAGCUAAUACCGGAUAAUAUAUUGAACCGCAUGGUUCAAUAGUGAAAGACGGUCUUGCUGUCACUUAUAGAUGGAUCCGCGCUGCAUUAGCUAGUUGGUAAGGUAACGGCUUACCAAGGCGACGAUGCGUAGCCGACCUGAGAGGGUGAUCGGCCACACUGGAACUGAGACACGGUCCAGACUCCUACGGGAGGCAGCAGUAGGGAAUCUUCCGCAAUGGGCGAAAGCCUGACGGAGCAACGCCGCGUGAGUGAUGAAGGUCUUCGGAUCGUAAAACUCUGUUAUUAGGGAAGAACAAAUGUGUAAGUAACUGUGCACAUCUUGACGGUACCUAAUCAGAAAGCCACGGCUAACUACGUG